CCUCCAGGCUUCUGGAUUCCCCUCUCACACCCUUCCAGCCAGUGUCCAAGAGCAGGACUCAUCUGUGGCAUCACAUGUGCCCCUUUGGGGGAGUGGAGCUGGCUUACAGUGUUGCCCUCCUAACAACUGGCCAGGCACUGCUGCCCACGCGUGAUCUUUCCAAGGAGGAAUUAAAUGCGACACUGAAGAAGAGAAGACCACCCGCUCCCUCCCUGCAGGGAGCUCUGGGGAAGAAACAGUGCACCGAAAAUGUCCAGGAUCCAUGCACCAGUGGGAGCCCACCCACGGGCUGUGGGGGACAGUGGGCCAGUCCUGGCAGCUUCCUGGUCACAGCCUCUUGGCAGGCCUUGAGCGGAUGGUGGUCAUCUUCACUCAGGCCCAGGGAGCCCAGUAGGUCCCACACAGCCUUUCCAUUUUGGAAGCUUCAUACAAACCAGACAGAAAGGGUCCUAUUUUAAUGCUCAGAGUCUCAUUACAUUAUGAUAUUUCCAUUCAAAUGCCUAUAAAAUAAACGCUAGCAGAAAUAUCCAUGAAGAAGAAAAUGCAAGCCAUUUUUGCAAAGGCAUCAUGCAGAUAAUAUCUUCAAAGCAGCAGCUUCAGAACGCGAAUCACACACACUGUUUUCUCUGCCAGCAAAGUGUGUUCUGCAGACAGUCAAUGAGCUAAUAAUUGCCUUACACGGAGAAGCUAUUUGUUUUUCCCAGUUAAAGACAGAGUGGCAAAAAUGUGAGUCUAGUGAGGCGGACUGAGUCCUGCAUAUUAAAAGAAACUCCACCCAGGAACAGAUUUUUGCAGUGUGGCUGUAACUAGACGUCCCUCGCGCUGGCUUCAUUUUCCUCAUUUACAAAAUGACGGCAACUGAACAGGCCUGUGUCCAAGGACCUCCUCUGGAAGCAGCAGGACCAUGGCCGCCCCUCUCUUCACUUCCUCUCCCACGGACCUGCCUCCUGCCAGCCUGAGCUGCCACACCCUGCCCCUGCCCUGCUUCCCCCCUGUGCCCGCCUCCCCUACCUCUGCAGACACAGGGGCCUCCCCUGCCUUCCUCCCCUGGUCCUGGCCGCCUUCCUGUGCCACAUGCUCCUCAGCAUGAGACACACUCACAGGUGUGCACACAGCACAUGUGCACACAUUCACACCAGGGGUGCACACUCUCACACACACCUCACAUGCAGUCACCCCUGGGCACACACAUGUAAAAAAGUGUGCAGCACAUCUUUGCAUUUGUACACAUGCGCAUGCAUGCAGACACACGUGUACACAAAUUUGCUUCUGUCCAAACUUCUCCUACUUCACUCCCUUGUGCAGAUCUCUCAGUUAGUGACGCUGCUCUUCAGCCUCAUUUACUAAAGAAAACAAAUCACUUCAUUUAUGGAAUCUCUACCACCAUGGCUCGUCCCUCCACGCCUCCUCUGCAGACCUCUGCCCUGCUGCCCGGCCACAUUCCUGCACACGGAGUGGGCUUCCCUGUGGCAACUUCUUCUGCCAACGUCUCCACUGAAUCUGCCUCAGGCGUCUUCCACAAAAUAGAGAAGUGAUCCCAGAAUUCCUCCUCAUUCUGCAGGAAUAUCUGAAAUAGUUCCCUCCUGUCUACAGACUCAGGUACAAUUCUAAAACCGGUGCACUGGCCCUUUGCAAAAAGCCUGCAUAGCCAUAGUAGACUGAAAAGUUUAUGCAUGAUGGAUGGAUGGACACAUAGACAGAUAGACAAUAGAGCCGUUGUCAUUGACUGAUUGAUCAAUUGAUUGAUUUCUUGGUUGCAACGGCACCAAAAAUAGGAAGCCCUUUCCAAAAUAAACAAAUUCUUUUCUGGUCACCACAAACUGCCUCAUGAUCUCACUUAAAUUCCACUUUUUAUUUAUUUUUCUCUUACACAAAAG
rnacentral:lncRNA from 1 species